GAUAAACGCUGGCGGCGUGCCUAAUACAUGCAAGUCGAGCGAACGGACGAGAAGCUUGCUUCUCUGAUGUUAGCGGCGGACGGGUGAGUAACACGUGGAUAACCUACCUAUAAGACUGGGAUAACUUCGGGAAACCGGAGCUAAUACCGGAUAAUAUUUUGAACCGCAUGGUUCAAAAGUGAAAGACGGUCUUGCUGUCACUUAUAGAUGGAUCCGCGCUGCAUUAGCUAGUUGGUAAGGUAACGGCUUACCAAGGCAACGAUGCAUAGCCGACCUGAGAGGGUGAUCGGCCACACUGGAACUGAGACACGGUCCAGACUCCUACGGGAGGCAGCAGUAGGGAAUCUUCCGCAAUGGGCGAAAGCCUGACGGAGCAACGCCGCGUGAGUGAUGAAGGUCUUCGGGUCGUAAAACUCUGUUAUUAGGGAAGAACAUAUGUGUAAGUAACUGUGCACAUCUUGACGGUACCUAAUCAGAAAGCCACGGCUAACUACGUGCCAGCAGCCGCGGUAAUACGUAGGUGGCAAGCGUUAUCCGGAAUUAUUGGGCGUAAAGCGCGCGUAGGCGGUUUUUUAAGUCUGAUGUGAAAGCCCACGGCUCACCCGUGGAGGGUCAUUGGAAACUGGAAAACUUGAGUGCAGAAGAGGAAAGUGGAAUUCCAUGUGUAGCGGUGAAAUGCGCAGAGAUAUGGAGGAACACCAGUGGCGAAGGCGACUUUCUGGUCUGUAACUGACGCUGAUGUGCGAAAGCGUGGGGAUCAAACAGGAUUAGAUACCCUGGUAGUCCACGCCGUAAACGAUGAGUGCUAAGUGUUAGGGGGUUUCCGCCCCUUAGUGCUGCAGCUAACGCAUUAAGCACUCCGCCUGGGGAGUACGACCGCAAGGUUGAAACUCAAAGGAAUUGACGGGGACCCGCACAAGCGGUGGAGCAUGUGGUUUAAUUCGAAGCAACGCGAAGAACCUUACCAAAUCUUGACAUCCUUUGACAACUCUAGAGAUAGAGCCUUCCCCUUCGGGGGACAAAGUGACAGGUGGUGCAUGGUUGUCGUCAGCUCGUGUCGUGAGAUGUUGGGUUAAGUCCCGCAACGAGCGCAACCCUUAAGCUUAGUUGCCAUCAUUAAGUUGGGCACUCUAAGUUGACUGCCGGUGACAAACCGGAGGAAGGUGGGGAUGACGUCAAAUCAUCAUGCCCCUUAUGAUUUGGGCUACACACGUGCUACAAUGGACAAUACAAAGGGCAGCGAAACCGCGAGGUCAAGCAAAUCCCAUAAAGUUGUUCUCAGUUCGGAUUGUAGUCUGCAACUCGACUACAUGAAGCUGGAAUCGCUAGUAAUCGUAGAUCAGCAUGCUACGGUGAAUACGUUCCCGGGUCU
rnacentral:rRNA from 1 species